rnacentral:lncRNA from 1 species
AGAAAUUUUAAAUUUUGCGGAUUCAAUGGAUGCGGACCCAAAGCACUGCUGAAAAGAAAACUCUAAAUUAUUUUGGUUAACAAACUAACAUAUUUGGGCACAGACAUUUUGAAAACUAGAUUGAAAACUAAAAUGUUACUGAAAGUAUGUUUUCUAAAAGAAAAGGAACCAUGUUAAGGUGUCUAGUUAUGGUUCAGGAUCAGAUUCAUCCACAGAGUCAGACCAGGAAUCUACUAACACUAUUAAACCGAUAAAGAAUACAAGGAAAUCCAAGAAAAUAAAAACUGCUGGAAAGUCUAUGAAGAAGAUCUCUGAUGCUGGAAAGUCUAUGAAGAAGAUCUCUGAUGCUGGAAAGUCUAUGAAGAAGAUCUCUGAUGCUGAAAAGUCUAUGAAGAAGAUCUCUAAUGCUGGAAAGUCUAUGAAGAAGAUCUCUGAUGCUGGAAAGAAAGAUCUAAAGAUACUCCUAAGAAAAGAGAAAGCAGAUCUAUUAACUUUACUGAGAACCAGAUUGUGUAUGUUGUCUUAACAUCUAACAUUUACGAGAAAGAAGAAAGCACGCAGACGAAUUAGGAGAUGAGUCACGUCCUGAACAAGAGCAAGGAUAUGUCCUUCUCCUACGAUAUCCUGACAGAGAUGAGUUCGGAGAAACUAUUCAGGGAAUUCUCAACCAUCUUUCCGAGGAGGAGGAGGAGGAGGAGGAAUAAGAGAAGGAUGGGGAACAAUCUCAAGUUCUCCACUAGCUCACAGUACCAGUGGAAACCAGCACACUGGAACCUGAAGUAGGAUUAGUACCGGAGCUCAAGGAAACCAAUGCCAGGGUUGCAGAGAAUGAUGUUACCCCUGUUUUUGUGGAGAUCUUCGCUGCUCCGUCCAAGACGAGUGUCCAGUGCUAAGAUGCACCUGGAUACAGAUAUGUAUAGGAACUCGGAUUUCGUCCCUCCGUCUAUGGAGGAUCAGAUGUACUCAUGUGAGAACUAUUACUUGUGUUUAAAGAUGUAAAGAUGGCAAUGCCCGAUUUACAAUGGUACCCUUGAAGCCUUAAUCUAAUCAAAAAUGUGGAAGAUAACGU